AACUUUGAGCGGUGGAUCNCUCGGCUCGU
rnacentral:rRNA from 1 species